GUGACUGCGUACCUUUUGUAUAAUGGGUCAGCGACUUAUAUUCUGUAGCAAGGUUAACCGAAUAGGGGAGCCGAAGGGAAACCGAGUCUUAACUGGGCGUUAAGUUGCAGGGUAUAGACCCGAAACCCGGUGAUCUAGCCAUGGGCAGGUUGAAGGUUGGGUAACACUAACUGGAGGACCGAACCGACUAAUGUUGAAAAAUUAGCGGAUGACUUGUGGCUGGGGGUGAAAGGCCAAUCAAACCGGGAGAUAGCUGGUUCUCCCCGAAAGCUAUUUAGGUAGCGCCUCGUGAAUUCAUCUCCGGGGGUAGAGCACUGUUUCGGCAAGGGGGUCAUCCCGACUUACCAACCCGAUGCAAACUGCGAAUACCGGAGAAUGUUAUCACGGGAGACACACGGCGGGUGCUAACGUCCGUCGUGAAGAGGGAAACAACCCAGACCGCCAGCUAAGGUCCCAAAGUCAUGGUUAAGUGGGAAACGAUGUGGGAAGGCCCAGACAGCCAGGAUGUUGGCUUAGAAGCAGCCAUCAUUUAAAGAAAGCGUAAUAGCUCACUGGUCGAGUCGGCCUGCGCGGAAGAUGUAACGGGGCUAAACCAUGCACCGAAGCUGCGGCAGCGACACUAUGUGUUGUUGGGUAGGGGAGCGUUCUGUAAGCCUGUGAAGGUGUNNNNNNNNNNNNNNNNNNNNNNNNNNNNNNNNNNNNNNNNNNNNNNNNNNNNNNNNNNNNNNNNNNNNNNNNNNNNNNNNNAUGCUGGAGGUAUCAGAAGUGCGAAUGCUGACAUAAGUAACGAUAAAGCGGGUGAAAAGCCCGCUCGCCGGAAGACCAAGGGUUCCUGUCCAACGUUAAUCGGGGCAGGGUGAGUCGACCCCUAAGGCGAGGCCGAAAGGCGUAGUCGAUGGGAAACAGGUUAAUAUUCCUGUACUUGGUGUUACUGCGAAGGGGGGACGGAGAAGGCUAUGUUGGCCGGGCGACGGUUGUCCCGGUUUAAGCGUGUAGGCUGGUUUUCCAGGCAAAUCCGGAAAAUCAAGGCUGAGGCGUGAUGACGAGGCACUACGGUGCUGAAGCAACAAAUGCCCUGCUUCCAGGAAAAGCCUCUAAGCAUCAGGUAACAUCAAAUCGUACCCCAAACCGACACAGGUGGUCAGGUAGAGAAUACCAAGGCGCUUGAGAGAACUCGGGUGAAGGAACUAGGCAAAAUGGUGCCGUAACUUCGGGAGAAGGCACGCUGAUAUGUAGGUGAAGCGACUUGCUCGUGGAGCUGAAAUCAGUCGAAGAUACCAGCUGGCUGCAACUGUUUAUUAAAAACACAGCACUGUGCAAACACGAAAGUGGACGUAUACGGUGUGACGCCUGCCCGGUGCCGGAAGGUUAAUUGAUGGGGUCAGCGCAAGCGAAGCUCUUGAUCGAAGCCCCGGUAAACGGCGGCCGUAACUAUAACGGUCCUAAGGUAGCGAAAUUCCUUGUCGGGUAAGUUCCGACCUGCACGAAUGGCGUAAUGAUGGCCAGGCUGUCUCCACCCGAGACUCAGUGAAAUUGAACUCGCUGUGAAGAUGCAGUGUACCCGCGGCAAGACGGAAAGACCCCGUGAACCUUUACUAUAGCUUGACACUGAACAUUGAGCCUUGAUGUGUAGGAUAGGUGGGAGGCUUUGAAGUGUGGACGCCAGUCUGCAUGGAGCCGACCUUGAAAUACCACCCUUUAAUGUUUGAUGUUCUAACGUGGACCCGUGAUCCGGGUUGCGGACAGUGUCUGGUGGGUAGUUUGACUGGGGCGGUCUCCUCCUAAAGAGUAACGGAGGAGCACGAAGGUUGGCUAAUCCUGGUCGGACAUCAGGAGGUUAGUGCAAUGGCAUAAGCCAGCUUGACUGCGAGCGUGACGGCGCGAGCAGGUGCGAAAGCAGGUCAUAGUGAUCCGGUGGUUCUGAAUGGAAGGGCCAUCGCUCAACGGAUAAAAGGUACUCCGGGGAUAACAGGCUGAUACCGCCCAAGAGUUCAUAUCGACGGCGGUGUUUGGCACCUCGAUGUCGGCUCAUCACAUCCUGGGGCUGAAGUAGGUCCCAAGGGUAUGGCUGUUCGCCAUUUAAAGUGGUACGCGAGCUGGGUUUAGAACGUCGUGAGACAGUUCGGUCCCUAUCUGCCGUGGGCGCUGGAGAACUGAGGGGGGCUGCUCCUAGUACGAGAGGACCGGAGUGGACGCAUCACUGGUGUUCGGGUUGUCAUGCCAAUGGCACUGCCCGGUAGCUAAAUGCGGAAGAGAUAAGUGCUGAAAGCAUCUAAGCACGAAACUUGCCCCGAGAUGAGUUCUCCCUGACCCUUUAAGGGUCCUGAAGGAACGUUGAAGACGACGACGUUGAUAGGCCGGGUGUGUAAGCGCAGCGAUGCGUUGAGCUAACCGGUACUAAUGAACCGUGAGGCUUAACCUU
rnacentral:rRNA from 1 species